rnacentral:lncRNA from 1 species
GUGAGAGCGCCCGAGAUGGCAGAACAAGAGCUACAGGGUACAAGCCCGAGGGACGAGCUGCGCGAUGAUUGGCUGGGGAGCUCCCUCAGGUGAGCUGCCAUUGGCAGAGGCGCGCUCAGGUAAGGCCCUUCUCCGAGUGCAGGUAACUCACUCCGAAGUUUACCCGAGUGGAGCGGCGGCAUGCUUGCAGCUCGGCGGCAGCCUGUGAGAGCUGAGGGUCAGUUCUUCGAGUAGAUCUCAAGCUGCGUUUUCCUCCUUCUCCAAAGCAGGGAUGGGAAGGUGGAGGCUACUGGUUGAAGAGAAGAAAGGGGUUGGGGGAAUGCAACACCUGCAAACACUAGGGAUUGUGGGUCGAGCGGAAGAGCUAAUGAGAGCCGAGCUCAGGUAUCCCAAGUCAACCAGAAUCAAAUGCGCAGUACGCCACAAGGCAUUUAAUGCCCACAGUAACAGGGCUGUUUGACAGUGGCAGAAGAGGACGGGACUAAAGUUACUUUGUGCUGAGAGGGGGAAAGAAGCACAAAGUUUGGUCUGUUGCGUAAUUGAAUUUUUAACACUCUUAUCCACAACAAACACUUUUUCGUGUCCUGCUGUGUAAAAGACAUCAGAUAUAUUACAGAUUUUCAAACAGGUGAGCAUCCUUUUACGAGCUGGGCAGGUGGGGAGUGGCGUGGUUUUGAUGGAGUGAGGAGAUUUGGUUGAAUGAACGCUAAGAUGGCCAGACGCACCUCUUCGAUCUCAACUCUGCAGCCUGGGAUUCCAGAGCUGCAAACAACCACUGAAUUCGUUCUGUAAACCUGUUGUCAUUUGACGUUUCCAGGCAGGCAUCAACAUUUACAUUGUAAUUCAAUAGACGCUACUACUACAAAGGAGCUUUAUUCUUCCAGCUUAAUAUGGUUGCUGCGGGAACACUGCAGGAUGAAACUGACUUUUUUUGUGGUAAUGUUUCUCCUGGUUGGGAACAACGCAAAUUAGCAAAGGCGUAAUUUAUAACCGCUGCUACCAAAGAGUGAAGUAUUUGUGGAAGUUCUGACUGGAAUCUAGCUCGUACAUAUGGAUUGUGGAAAUAAAGGAGGACGUGGAAAGCUUGCCAUAUUUUAUUUCAAGUUAAUACUAAAGCUGCCAGACUUAAUACAACUUUCUUUUAAUCUUUAUGGAUCACAUAUUUUCUGAAAAUUACAUGAUAAAACAAGG